AUGCCCGCACCUUCAACUAUUCCGGUCACCAAGAGCACGCCCUCCUGCGUGCGACCCGACAAGCACUUGCCGCCCUUCCUCAAACCUGAAUAUCUUGUACAGUUUCUCGACAAUGCCUUGUCAAUGCUGGAUAAGUUACAUGAUCACAGUGAGGCAAACCUUAAGCCAAUGCAUGUCGGUGAAGUUGGAAUUGAGAUGGCCCGUUUGGGGAAAACCUUAGCUCGUGAUGAUGAAAUCAGCUGGAUGGAGGCUGGUCUGCUACCUCCCCUGCGCAGCGGUACAUUUAAUUCAUUUGAAUCAUUCAAGCCACAAGAAGACAGCCAAACGAAUCAGCUCAUAAUUUCACAAGUUGCAAAUCUCGUUGGAAAUAUCUAUCGCGAUUUACCAGAAAAUUUGCAGAAGGAAUUGCUAAAUCAACUAAGAAGGGCCACAGAACAACCAGCAGAUAACAGUCGACAGGCGAAGGGAUGGAUGUGGCCAUGCUCAUCAGUCUGCGUCUCAUUGGCCUCUCAUUUGGCCAUGUUCUUGCUGUCUGCUCUGUGGCCCAGGAGCGAGAGUGUCAAAGAAGAAUCAGCUGUCAGCUCGCCAGCUCCAAGUGCAACAGAAAAGAGCCUCUUUCUUCGUUGGGGGGUUGAAAAAGUCAUUGGUCCUUUUCUGAUGUGUGGUGCUCUGACGGUCAUUAGGAAGUUUGUAAUCAGCAAGGAGAUUUGGAAGAAAAGCUACAAAGCAAAUGAGAUGGUUAAUUUAUGGAUCAAUACCUUUGCAAAAGGGACGUUCUUCGCUGUAAAAGAAUUUCCAGUAACACGUGGUGGGUUAACAUUGUGGGCUCAUCUAGCAUCCUUUGCUAUUGAGCUUCUUGGGGCCACAUGGCUGUUAUGGAGCUUUGGCUUCUGGGAGUCGGACGUUGUAGACAGUUGA
rnacentral:rRNA from 1 species